UCUUCGUUUUGCUUUUCCUUUAUCUCUCUCCCCGUCUAGACUCUUCGAUUCCAAAUCCUGUCCCUUCUUAGUCGCAUCUCUCUUGCCCGAGUCCACGCAUUCUCUGUCAGUCGUUUCUCCUCUUCAGCUAUCGGCUCCAACAAGAAUCAAUCAACAACAAUGACUCAUAUCCUUUGAUAUGUUUCACAAAGGCUUGUAUUUUCUUUUAACGAACUAUGUUGAUCUUGGAUUGAUUGUCUCGCCGUUUCGUUGGCUAGAAAAUCUGAGAUAUUAUCUGGAAACUACUUGAUGCUUCUUCUUUUUCUCCCCCCCUUCUUUGUUCUUUUGUUUAGCUUUAACUGAAGCGCACGUGGAAACCAGAGGGAUCGAGAUCGAGAACGAGCUCAAGCUAGGGCUACUACUAAAGGCAAGCAACCUAGGAACGAUGGUUUAACCCCUGAACAACGCCGGGAAAGAGAUGCAAAGGCAUUACAAGAGAAAGCAACAAGGAAGGCAGCUC